GUGUGGAUAGGGGAGAAAUUCCAAUCGAACCCGGAGAUAGCUGGUUCUCCUCGAAAUAGCUUUAGGGCUAGCCUCGUAUUAGUUUAGCGGAGGUAGAGCACUGAAUUCCUAAGGGGGCGUCAAAGCUUACCAAGGGAUAUCAAACUCCGAAUGCCGCAUAAAUGAUGUACGGGAGUCAGACUGCACGAGAUAAGUUGGGUAGUCAAAAGGGAAAGAGCCCAGACCUACAGCUAAGGUCCCAAAGUGUGUGUUAAGUGGAAAAGGAUGUGGGAUUUCAGAGACAACCAGGAUGUUGGCUUAGAAGCAGCCACACAUUCAAAGAGUGCGUAAUAGCUCACUGGUCGAGAGGUCCUGCGCCGAAAAUGUCCGGGGCUGAAACACAACACCGAAGCUUAGGAACGAGAGAUCGUUGGUAGAGGAGCAUUCUUAAAGGGGCGAAGCAGUACCGGCAAGGAGCUGUGGACUUUUAAGAAGAGAGAAUGCCGGAAUGAGUAGCGAGAUGGAGGUGGGAAUCCUCCAGGCCGAAUAUCCAAGGUUUCCAGAGUAAAGCUGAUCUGCUCUGGGUAAGUCGGGGCCUAAGGUAAGGCUGAGAAGCGUAGCCGAUGGACAACAGGUUGAGAUUCCUGUACCGCGUAUCAUCAGAACUGUGGGGACACAGAAGGACAGCACAUCCCGGGAAUGGAAAGACCGGGGCAAGCAGGGUAGGAGUUAAGCUGGCAAAUCCGCUUAACAAUCCGAAGCUGUGAUGCGGAGCGAAUUUAAGUAGCGAAGUGUGCGAUUCCAGCUGUCAAGAAAAGCCGCUAUUGUGUGAUACGUGCCCGUACCGUAAACCGACACAGGUAGAUGAGGAGAGAAUCCUAAGGCCGGCGGGAGAAGCAUUGUUAAGGAACUCGGCAAAAUGACCCUGUAACUUCGGGAGAAAGGGUGCCUGGGAAACCAGGCCGCAGAGAAUAGGCUCAAGCAACUGUUUAGCAAAAACACAGGUCUAUGCAAAACCGUAAGGUGAGGUAUAUGGGCUGACGCCUGCCCGGUGCUGGAAGGUUAAGAGGAGAGGUUAGAGCAAUCGAAGCUUUGAAUUGAAGCCCCAGUAAACGGCGGCCGUAACUAUAACGGUCCUAAGGUAGCGAAAUUCCUUGUCGGGUAAGUUC
rnacentral:rRNA from 1 species